rnacentral:rRNA from 1 species
UUAGGAAUAUUGGACAAUGGGCGCAAGCCUGAUCCAGCCAUGCCGCGUGAACGAUGAAGGCCUUCGGGUUGUAAAGUUCUUUAGCCGACGAAUAUAAUGACUGUAGUCGGAAAAUAAGCCCCGGCUAACUUCGUGCCAGCAGCCGCGGUAAUACGAAGGGGGCGAGCGUUAUUCGGAAUCACUGGGCGUAAAGCGUGCGUAGGCUGUUUUGUAAGUCAGAAGUGAAAGCCCAGGGCUCAACCCUGGAAUUGCUUUUGAAACUACGAGACUUGAAUUCGGGAGAGGAUAGCGGAAUUGUCAGUGUAGCAGUGAAAUGCGUAGAUAUUGACAGGAACACCAGUGGCGAAAGCGGCUAUCUGGACCGACAUUGACGCUGAGGCACGAAAGCGUGGGGAGCAAACAGGAUUAGAUACCCUGGUAGUCCACGCCGUAAACGAUGUGAGUUUGUCGUUGGGGGUCUUAGACCUUCAGUGACGUAGUUAACGCGUUAAACUCACCGCCUGGGAAGUACGGCCGCAAGGUUA